rnacentral:sRNA from 1 species
UUAAAAAUUAAAACAUUUAUAAAGUCAAUGGCUCUUGCUUAUUCUUAAUGGGAUCUAAAACCAUAGUUGUAAAGCCAAUCUAAUAAAAAUUUUUAUGAUAUACUUUAAAUAGGAUAAUGAAGUCACCAUAGUUGUUACACAUUUUUAGCACAAAGGAGUUUUUCUUAUCUUUUUUGCCCCCAAAUGAAUUGGUCCCCAGAGCCUUUUCUAUUUAGAUAGUCUAGAUUUGCCAUUGUCUUUUUAAAUCCUUUAGUACUGAAGAAGUUGCACUGCUGGUUUGGGGCCUUCCAGGAAAUUUCCACAAGUGAAGGAAAUAAGAGGUUAAGGGUCAGUAGGGAGAGGUGGGACUACAGAGUAUUGGAGAAUCUGGAUUCCCACUGAAGUGAUAUGGUAGGUACACCAUGGUUCAGUUGUGUGGACAUGUGGCAAGUCUUAUGUAGCUAGGCUUUCAAUUUUUUUUAAAUACCACAUUGGCCUAUAAUAUCUAUUCAUUGCCGGUAAACACACCCCAUAGUUGAAGAGUUUGUAAUUUCUACUUUUCCAAAAUGACUGACUCAUGGAGCCUCAGGCAAGAAUUCCCUAGGAACCACUGGGGACUUUAGCAUGAGAAUAAUGGAGAACAGAGAGAGACAUACAAAAAUGCAAAAGGAAGUCUGAGUCAUGUUUUAAACUAUUUGUAUUUUUUUUAUUGCAAAACAUUUGUUACAGAAAUUCCAGAAAGUUCUUUGCCUGUAGUAUCUGCCAACUUCUGCUUCAAAUUAUAUAUCUAAACAGACAAGCUCAAAGUGCAUUGUGAAUCCAGUAAGAGACUUUUAAAAAGAACAGUUUCUCUAGAUUUUUAUAUGUGUAUAUAUAUAUAUAUAUAUAUAUAUAUAUUCAUAGUGUCAGUAGAAAGGCAAACCUCUGUCUAUCCAUACAUGAAAGAAGGAAAAGAUGUAUAUAUAGUUAGUAAACCCAAUUUCAAAAUCAUUGUAUUUAUAGGAAUUCAUUUAAAAAUGGUAUCUGAAUAACUUCCCCCCAUUAUAAACUAUGGUUAGAGCAUUUACAAGUGUGAAUCUAAGUGCUGGAUUGUGAAAUGGCUAUGAGAAUUGUUUACUGACUACACGGCCUGUCUUACACAGCGGUAGCAGCAAUAAGAACUCAGGUCAGAUGCUCCAGUGACAGGAAGCAGAUCUGGGUCUUGGAUUGAGUUUGCCAUCCCUUCACGGAGAGGCAGCCAACUGGUUCUGACCACGUGUGGGGAACUGGUGAAGAUGUCGGGAACCUUUCAGGACUCAGACGGGCAGUUCAGAAUUGGGUGUGACAUGUGCCACACCAGCCACAUUAAGAACUUGGGUGCAGGAGGAGAAGUCAGAUGAACAACCAGUCCUGGGUCAAAUUCAGAACAUCUGACCUCUUCUAUGUAGAUGAUGUUUGGGAUUUACUGUGUUGGGGUCCAUAGGGAUAUGAGGUAAUGGGUGAGUCUUUUAGUCUCACACUCACAUGGGGAGAAAGAACUAGCUUUGAACUAAUAAAAAACAGGAAGAAGGGGGACAAAAAAAAUAUCCAGUGCCUCCAGGCACAAGGCUGAUUCUCAUCCUGUGCCUCAUAUUCUUUAGCAAUCUGCCUCCCCUGGGGGCUAGAGUCAUGCUGGCACUGAAGCCCCCUCAGAGUUGGUCCAGUUCCCGACACCAUGAUGCAGGGAUCAUGCGUUUCCAGAAGAAGAUGGCCAGUUUUUCUAGGAGAGUUAAGACAGGAAUUGUCACCUCUUGGUGAAUCUGGAUGAUCUAUAUCCCCUCUUAGAUGACACAUAGAAAUCAGUAGAUCUUGAUUUUACUAGGGAUGACCAGCAUAAGGAUGGCCAUCAACGCUCAGUGAAAUUAACUUGAAAAAGGAAAGGAAAAGUUGUUCUUCUUUAGUCAGAACCAGCCCCCUCUUUUAUGGACUUUAACCUGAGAGACAGGAUGCUGGACUUGUAGAUACAAGACACAGCACAGGGCAAACCUAGUGUCAAGAAAAGGCUUCCCUGUUCAUUUUGGGAGCAUUUUGACUGUGCGAAUUAGAUCCAUUCCUUCCCAGAAGUUGAAUGGGGACUUCUUUAGAAGAAGGGGUAACUCUUCAGAGUUACCUGGUGCUUCAUCAAACAAUCACCCCACUCCCACCUCUGGGCCUGGCUCAUCCACAGGGUGUGAAAGCCACAGGGCAAGAAGGGAGGUAAUGGACGAGCAUUACCAUGGGACCACUCGCUCACAGUGAUCUGUGCACUUCUGUCUUGUCAUUGUGUACCUUCGAUUUUCAUCUCUGGUUUAGCAAUUUGCACCCAGGAAGCCCUAAAGAAUCCAGGACGUGUCUUUCAUAUAUCACAGAUGCCCCCACACCUAGACCUUGGGACUCCAGAGUGGUGCUACCUUGUCAUCUCUGGGUCCCCUAGCUAUUGCAACUUGUAGUUGAUACUUUAUUUCAUAUCAUUCACUCAGAGCUUUAAAAAAAUCGAAAAAAAAAAAAGAGAAAAGAAACCCUCGAUUACUCGUUUUCAGUUUCUGAGAACUGAAAGCAGUUCCCACUUUAAGAAGCCCGACAAUUUGAGUGACUCGCUAACUGGUUUAUGGAUUGCAGCAGACAAGAGUAAAACAUUAAGGGCCUUAGAAAGGUAGAAGGACACACAUACAGUGUAGUGUGCAUGGUGCUGACACAAAACUAAGACUAGGUUUGGAGAGGGAUUACUUGAGAUGAGUCACAUUUUAUGGUAAAGAUUAUCGAGUUGAAUGCGACGUUUAGGCCACCUAAACACUAACAUCACUUUUAUCUAGAACAGACGGUGCUACCGAAUGAGUGGAUUUCUUAAAACACUGUGCACUGGUUCUGUAUGGGGUCAGCAGAUGUAAACAGACAGCUAAUUCAGCUGGACUUUUAAACUACUUAAGUUCACUUGCUAUGUAGUCUUUUGCAUAACAUGCCAUCUUGUCUGACACAAAAGCGCACUGUGCCUCGCCCAGCUUGUGGGACCUGGUAGAGGGGACACAUCCGCUUAUAGGGGUCUGAGGGAGGCGAACAGCUUAAUGAAGAACGGGAACCAAAACGCCCAUUCCCGGAGGCUGCUGAAGAAUAUGGAAGUGGGAGCAUAAUUAAUCCUUGCCACAUGUGCUUCUUUAUUGAAUGUUACAGAUUUAUAAAUAAUUAUAAAGCUGGCCUGUAACGUUCAUUAAUACAACCACAUGCUACAACUAUGCUGGGUUAAACACAGGUUACAGAGAGGUUUACAUGUGUUUUCAUAAUACAGCAUUGCCCAAUAUGUCACAUGGCAUAGCCUAUAGAUAGAGCAUGAUGGAUAACUGGAUAAUGCUUAUUAUCUUUAAAGAAAUCAAACAGCCCAAACAUCCAGGAAGAUUAGACGGUACAGCUGCGGAAAAAAGAAAGAGAGGGACUAUCCAGUGAUCUACCAUAAUGUUAUCUAUAGAAACCAGGUUUUAAAAUACAAUUGUAACAUUCAGAAGAAACACAGUUUUGUGUUUUCACAAGUACACCCCCCAUUUCAUUAUUCUGGUAUAUGUAUAUUAUAUAUAUAUAUAUUUUUUUUAAAGGGGGGACUUUCAAAGUGCUAAAUAGUAACUGGCCCCGGAAGCUUCAACUUUAAAGAAACAUCCAGUUCUCAUAAGUGCCAUACUCUGACUGCCCUCCUUUUGGCUUGUAGACACACAAAUUGGCCAUGACAAUUACCCUCUUGCUUCUGAGCACUCCAUUCAAAUCUACCAGUUCCUAACAGUAAA